rnacentral:rRNA from 1 species
UCCUACGGGCGGCAGCAGUGGGGAAUAUUGGGCAAUGGGGGAAACCCUGACCCAGCAACGCCGCGUGAGAGAAGAAGGUAUUCGUAUUGUAAAUCUCUGUCCUUGGGGACGAAAAAAAUGACGGUACCCAAGGAGGAAGCCCCGGCUAACUACGUGCCAGCAGCCGCGGUAAUACGUAGGGGGCGAGCGUUGUCCGGAAUUACUGGGCGUAAAGGGUGCGCAGGCGGUUGAAUAAGUCUCAUGUGAAAUCCCCGGGCUUAACUUGGGGGUUGCAUGGGAAACUGUUUGACUUGAGUGCAGGAGAGGCAAGUGGAAUUCCUAGUGUAGCGGUGAAAUGCGUAGAUAUUAGGAGGAACACCAGUGGCGAAGGCGACUUGCUGGACUGCAACUGACGCUGAGGCACGAAAGCGUGGGUAGCAAACAGGAUUAGAUACCCCAGUAGUCGGC